rnacentral:piRNA from 1 species
UGGUUCUGCAAUAUCUCUGAGGUGCA